rnacentral:tRNA from 1 species
AGGGCAGCGCCGGGCACGAACGGAUAACCCUGAUGAAGUUAAUCACGGGAGCUCAUCUCCCCUGCCCUU